AACGCACAUUGCGCCCCUUGGAAUUCCAUGGGGCAUGCCUGUUCGAGCGUCAUUUACACUCUCAAGCUCCGCUUGGUGUUGGGUGUCUGUCCCGCUUCGUGCGCGGACUCGCCCCAAAGGUAUUGGCAGCGGUUCAGCCAGCUUCUCGCGCAGCACAUUGCGCUUCUCGAGGCGACGGCGAGCGCGCGUCCAUCAAAGUCCCCCCUUAGUUUGACCUCGGAUCAGGUAGGGAUACCCGCUGAACUUAA
rnacentral:misc_RNA from 1 species